GAUAUGGCUCAGGAUGAACGCUGGCGGCGUGCUUAACACAUGCAAGUCGAACGAAGCACUUUAUUAUGAUUUCUUCGGAAUGACGAUUUAGUGACUGAGUGGCGGACGGGUGAGUAACGCGUGGGUAACCUGCCUUAUACAGGGGGAUAACAGUUAGAAAUGACUGCUAAUACCGCAUAAGCGCACAGGAUUGCAUGAUCUGGUGUGAAAAACUCCGGUGGUAUAAGAUGGACCCG
rnacentral:rRNA from 1 species